rnacentral:rRNA from 1 species
CCUACGGGUGGCAGCAGUGGGGAAUAUUGCACAAUGGGGGAAACCCUGAUGCAGCGACGCCGCGUGAGUGAAGAAGUAUUUCGGUAUGUAAAGCUCUAUCAGCAGGGAAGAAAAUGACGGUACCUGACUAAGAAGCCCCGGCUAACUACGUGCCAGCAGCCGCGGUAAUACGUAGGGGGCAAGCGUUAUCCGGAUUUACUGGGUGUAAAGGGAGCGUAGACGGCCAGACAAGUCAGAAGUGAAAGCCCAGGGCUCAACCCUGGGACUGCUUUUGAAACUGCCGGGCUUGAGUGCAGGAGAGGUAAGCGGAAUUCCUAGUGUAGCGGUGAAAUGCGUAGAUAUAUGGAAGAACACCAGUGGCGAAAGCGGCUUUCUGGUCUGUAACUGACGCUGAGGUUCGAAAGCGUGGGUAGCAAACAGGAUUAGAUACCCGGGUAGUC